UGCCCCGUGGCUUAGUUGGUUACGGCGUCCGACUGUUACGACUUGAGUUGAUAUCGGAAGAUCGAGAGUUCAAGUCUCUCCGGGGCAG